UACGGGGGGGGGACAGCGUUUGUUCGGAAUUACUGGGCGAAAGGGCUCGUAGGUGGCCAACUAAGUCAGACGUGAAAUCCCUCGGCUUAACCGGGGAACUGCGUCUGAUACUGGAUGGCUAGAGAUUGGGAGAGGGAUGCGGAAUUCCAGGUGUAGCGGUGAAAUGCGUAGAUAUCUGGAGGAACACCGGUGGCGAAGGCGGCAUCCUGGACCAACACUGACGCUGAGGAGCGAAAGCCAGGGGAGCAAACGGG
rnacentral:rRNA from 1 species